rnacentral:rRNA from 1 species
AUGAACGCUGGCGGCGUGCCUAAUACCUGCCAGUCGAGCGAACGGACGAGAAGCUUGCUUCUCUGAUGUUAGCGGCGGACGGGUGAGUAACACGUGGAUAACCUACCUAUAAGACUGGGAUAACUUCGGGAAACCGGAGCUAAUACCGGAUAAUAUUUUGAACCGCAUGGUUCAAAAGUGAAAGACGGUCUUGCUGUCACUUAUAGAUGGAUCCGCGCUGCAUUAGCUAGUUGGUAAGGUAACGGCUUACCAAGGCAACGAUGCAUAGCCGACCUGAGAGGGUGAUCGGCCACACUGGAACUGAGACACGGUCCAGACUCCUACGGGAGGCAGCAGUAGGGAAUCUUCCGCAAUGGGCGAAAGCCUGACGGAGCAACGCCGCGGGAGUGAUGAAGGUCUUCGGAUCGUAAAACUCUGUUAUUAGGGAAGAACAUAUGUGUAAGUAACUGUGCACAUCUUGACGGUACCUAAUCAGAAAGCCACGGCUAACUACGU